CUGGUCAGGCCAGGUGGCUACACAGUGAGUUCAAGGCCAGUCUGAACUACAGAGCGAGACGCUGUCUCAAAAAACCAAAAAAUCAAGGUGCCAACAUCACCAGGCUAUAAAGAUCUCAAAAUUUCUAUAGCCUGCUGUGGCUAGCCAGUUAAGUCAUCGGCUUGAGUUCCUAGUCGCAUUAUUGUCAGUGAGGAGCAGAAAUCUGAACCCUCGGAAUCUGACUUCAAGGCCCAUUUUCUCAACCACAGUGUCACCUCUUUGUAGGGAAAAUUGUAAGAGGAAGUGAGUGGCAGGGGACAGGAGCAUCCUUCUGACUGUACCUAAGAAGAGGAGAACAGUUUGCAUCAGAGUUGGACUGAAUGCUCAGCCUGGAUACUUCAGCAAGAAAGGGAAGGCUCCUGCUGUGACUCCUCCAGGAACGUGCCUGUCGCCUGGCAGAGGGUACAGACAGCGUCUCUGCGGCCAAAAUGAGCGAGGCAGGCCUAGAACACAGCCUGUUUUCUUGUGAGCCUCUCUACCUUCCUGUUUGCCUUUGGAGAACCAAAUCCGCUCCCGAGCAGCAGACCCACACGUGUACCACUCCUGACAGCAGCUACCAGGACACCCAAGCCCAGCAGGAGAGGUAGCCCUUUCCCUCUGUUGGAUACCUCCUCUCCCCAAAGUGGCCAUGUCUACAUCUCCAGAAGCUCAUGUCUUCCCUUGAAUCACAUUAGAGCUCCUCCUGCACAAACCCAGGGAUCAGGAAGAACUUAAAAUCUGUGUACCCACCGUUAGCAGUUCACUGACCUCAUGAUGCAGAAGAGCCCGCCACCUGUCUGUACCCAUCAGUUUAUAACAGAGAAGUCAGUUUGCUGUCAUCCCAUAUCUUGCCUGACAGUGCACAGGGCACUAUACUCUGUCGACCCUUGCUGGCUCUCUGUUGAAGGCUUUGCAAAUAUGAAAUGGCAAGCCCUUCACCCCAUCCUGUGCUUCCAACACAUACCUCCUUCCUGCUUCCCAGCUCCUCAUUUGAUUAGCUUGAACUGGAAAGGGCCCAGUGCCCGGACCUUCACGUCCAGCGGCUAUGUUCGCUUCUCUGAGAAAACAUACGGUGCCCCGAGCCCUUACCCCUGUCUCUGUGCCCUUUGCCACGUGUCUUUGCGGCUCUUCUGGCUGCAUUUAUUUCAUUGCACCGCCUGCUGUUUUUCAGGGCCUGUGGGGAGAAGUGACGUCACCUGGCUCAGAGUCUGGGCCAGCAGAGACCUCUGUGUUUUUUGUUUUCUUAUCUCAAUCUUCCUUUCCUUCUUCCUCUACCACGAGAAGGAUGUGACCUGGGCAACAACUGUUCCUUCUGCACCGAACACAGGAGCAGGAAUGAAAACUGAGCUUGCCCCAAGUCUAGUGUGGUUUUGCUGCAGUGCUGAUGGCUUCACCCUUUACCUCCUUGUUCCUUUAGCCUCCCAGAGGGGACUAACGUUUUCUAAGCAGCUGCUAGGGCCAAGUUCUUCCACAUAUAGUAUUGGUCUAUUUAUUUUUAAAAUCCUAAAAGGCCAUGUUGUUUUUCAUAUUCUACACACAAGGAAACUCAGAUUCAAAAGAAUUAAGAAGCUUAUCCAAAGUCAUAGUUUUAGUAAGUGUCAAAUUCAGAAUUCCAAACCAGACCUUUGAAUGUCCUGUGAAAUCUUUUUUCCACUUAUUAAGACCAGAUGAGGUCAUUGGGGUAUUUCAUUGCAUCACCUCAGAAGAUCAUUAUAGGUUUUUGUUCCCCAACAUCAGUUCAUCAGGGAAAAAAAUCUUACUGUAUGUAAACCAGAAGAAAAACUGUUUAAUAGCGUGAAGAGUGAAAUCUAGCCCUAAUCUCAUAGAGGAAACUAUCCUAAUAUUUUUGCCAACAUGUAUAAUGAACCCUGUGCAUAAUUAGCUACUUGGAAUUGCCCUUUUAUCUUUUAAGAUCAAAAUAUCAUCCUAUCCUCUGACUCAGAAUGGCUCUAAGAUAUUCUUGGAGAAUUAAUAUAACAUCAUUUUGAAAAUCUAAUGCCAACCUCUCUGCCAGCAUUUGAAAUUAAUUUUCUCUGCAAUUCAGAGUGCACAUAUUUGCAUUCUUUGCACAUAUUUAGCCCAAAAGCUUUGAAGUAUUUUUAAUGAUGUAUCUUAGGCAAAUAUAAAAAUAAUGUUGAUUUUAGACCUAAACAAAAGAUAAGCAUAUGAGCAAAACUUAUUUUACUUUUCCUUUGAUCUCCCAAAACCAAGAUUCCUAACACAUCUCAAGGUCCAGAAUGAACAAGGAGGAAAAAGAUUAAAAAAAAUAUCAGAGGAGCAGCGGAGAUAUAACCCCAAAUCACUCUAAGAGGAUUAAGUUAUAGGACUUUCUGAUUUAGGAAAUGUGUGCUUGUGAAGAAUGAGAAAUGUCUCAUGUUGUAGAUAAGAUAGUUAAAAGAUAUUAAGAAACAAUGUUUUUUUUUUAAAGAAAGAAACAAUCUUUUUAGAAAGUCUUCAAAUAAGAAAAGUAGGAAAGUCUGCAGUCUCUCCUAAAAAGUGUUUAGAGUAGGACUGUGGUGAUUAAAGCCAAUUAAGAACAAAGGAGAAAGAGUCCCAAUGUUAGAUUUUAAGUUUUGUUCAUUAAGACAAUUUAUUUCUUGUGUGUGUGUGUACGUGUUACUAGGGAUCAAAACAAUGGGUGCUCUAUCAAUGGUCUGUAUCCCCAGCCCUUGAAACAAAUUUUUUAAAUUUUGAGACACACUCUCACUAGAUUGCUCAGGCUGGGUUCAAUCUUGUAGUACUCCUACUUCAACCUCCUAAGUAGCUAAGAUUACAGGGAUAUGCCACUGUACCUGGUGUCUUAUUUUUUUAAGUUUUUACUAUAAUCAUCAUCACCAUCACCACCAGCGCCACUGCCGCCACCACCAUCGUCAUCAUCAACAGCAACACUGUGGCACCCUUCUGCCUAUUACCAACAUGGAAAGUCACUUUUAACUAUGUCAGAGAGCAGAUUACUUCAGAGUGUCAACAACUGCCAAGUAUUUUGUGUCCCAGAGUGUAUGAGUCAGGUUUCCCAUUGCUGGAACCCUGACACCUACAAUUUAAAAGAAGAGAGGUUUAAUUUGGUUUGUGAUUUGGGGGUUUCAGUACAUGAUUGGCUGAGUCCAAGACAGAUAUGCCAUGGAAGAAGGAUCUGGCAGAGAAAGCCUGUUCGUUAUGUGUCUUUCCAGUUGAAUUGAAGUUCUAUAAAGAAUUUUGUUCUUAUUUAUAGCUUUAGUGAUGCCAGGUAUACAUAGAUUAGAUACAUGACAGAUGUUUGUUGAAAAGAAUGAAUGAAUAUUACCCAAGCUGGAAAA